UCGAGGGGCAGCACGAGGUAGCAAUAUCUAUGGUGGCGACCGGCGCACGGGUGCGUAACGCGUAUGCAACCUACCUUUAACAGGGGGAUAACACUGAGAAAUUGGUACUAAUACCCCAUAAUAUCAUAGAAGGCAUCUUUUAUGGUUGAAAAUUCCGAUGGUUAGAGAUGGGCAUGCGUUGUAUUAGCUAGUUGGUGAGGUAACGGCUCACCAAGGCUACGAUACAUAGGGGGACUGAGAGGUUUUCCCCCACAUUGGAACUGAGACACGGUCCAAACUCC
rnacentral:rRNA from 1 species